CUUUGGCAGGGAGAGCCGAGGCAGACUGGCGCUUCAGUUCACAGCACGGUCUCUUGCUGCUUCUAAUGAGGCUUCGUUAACAGAGCCUAGCCCAAACCACACAGAGGAGAACCAAGACUCUCCUGUUAGCAGCCUCAGCUGAGCAUCUAGCCAACUGCCAGCCAUGUGAACACGUCAUUUGGGAUUCCGGCCCACUUGAGCCCCAGAUGACUGCAGAUCCAAGGGACAUCAUGUGGGGCAGAAGAACCACCUAGCUGAGGCCUGUUAAACCACAGACUCACGAAAGGGUUGGCUGUGUGACUGACAGAACACAGAAGUGAUGCAUGGUAUGUUACUCCCAAAAUUAGAUUACAGAAGACCUUGUAGCUCCUGUCUUGGUCACUCUCUUAGAUCACAUGUCAUGUUGUGACCAGUCUCAUUGAAAGAGCUCUACAUAAGUUGAUCAACUUGUCACUGGGUUGCCCAGGACUUUCCUGGUUUUAGACUGAAGGGAGGUGGGAGCUGUCUCAUCCUGAGAACUCCUCAGUCCUGGACAAACCGGGAUGAUAGGUCACCCUACAUCCAUAUGGUGAGGAACUCAGCCCACUGGACAACAGUGAGCAAGAAACUAAGGCCUCUUACCAACAGCUGCACGAGGGAGCCACCUUGGGAGCAACUCCUCCAGCCCCAGUCAAGCCUUGGGAUGACGGCAGCCCCAGCUGACAGCUUGACAGAAACCUCAUGAAGACCCUGAUCCAGAACCACCCAGGCUUAAGAAAUCACCACGGAAGAAGAAAAAUAUAUAUGUAUAUAGGUUACAGCAAGAGGGAAAAGUAAUACUUUUGGCAACUCUCUCCCAGUGGCUCAUAUAGCCUCUACUAUUUGUGCUAUAUGCCCAAAGUAUAAUCCGGAGAAGCCACUUCAUGAGUCACAAAGCCACUUUCCCUUCCUAAGGGACCCUUUGAGGUAUGACCAUUGGACUUUGUCCAAAUGCCACCAUCUCAAGGAUAAAUACAUCUUGUAAUGAUCUGUAUAUUCUCACAUUGUUUUGAGGCUUUUCCUUGCAGAAGAGUGAUGGCUUUAGAUAAAUUAUUAUUGAAAAGAAUAAAUUCCUGUUUGAGGAAUUCCUACCGAGUUACGUUGUGACUGGGAAACUCAUUUCACCGGAUAAAUAAUUGAAUCUAUUUGUAAUGUUUGGCAAAUAUUGCUGCAUUUCCACUGCACUUACCAUCCUCAAUCCUCAGGAUUCGUAGAAAGAACUAAUGGCACAACCAAAACUUAAUUGGCAAAGAUUUCAGAAGCAUUUACUCUCUCAUGGCCCAAAGCUCUUGUGCUAGCGCUCCUUAAUGUUAGAUCUACACAUUUUGUAAACAUCAGCUGUCUCCUUUUGAAAUAAUAAUAAAACAGCCUAUGCAAUUAGAUGAAGAAAUAUAUGAACCAAGCUUUGCUUAAGGGGUAUAUUAAAUUGUUGUCAUGGUCUUAUUGAGGUGCUUAAAGAAAUGAAAGAUUGGUAGCUGAUUCUUUCUCAGAGAGCUCCCAGAACUUAAGGAUCUUGGACUAUAACCUGGAGAGUUUAUUUAUUGAAAGAGACAUCAAAUAAGACUGUUUGCAGCCCUGUUGGAAGGGACCAUACCAGGAGGAGAAGAAGACGGCAUCUGUUGUAGACAGCUGUCCCAAGACUCCGGACCAGGCCUGUAUUCCUGACCUUAUAUCUCCUCAUUUAAACUUUUGUUAUGCUUAAACUGUAUACCUAUUUUAUAAUUUGUUUGGAAUACUAUCAUACUUAAAGAAAGGGAUUCAUUUGGAACAGACUGAUCUUGAAGGCCAGGAAUUUAUUGAGUGACUCCUAAUGGAACUCAAUGGUUAUGUGGAACAAAUCUUUGGCCUUGGCUACUGCCUGGAUGGCUAAAACACUACACCCUGAGUUUCCUUUAAAAGCAGAGAGGGAGUCAGGCUGAGUUAAAACCUGUUGCCAAUCUCCCUCUCUUUAAGGCCAGAUGGGCUCGUUCAGUGCUCCACUGGUAAGGCUAUAUUAGCAACUAUAUGUGCUUCUUCUUUGGGGCUAAAAGAUGUCGUUAUUACAUAUGGAAUCUCUGACUACAUUUACUCAAGAAGCCCUUAAUGAUAGUCAAGCAGGAAUACCCUUAUUUAAAUAGUGAAAUGUCUUUAAUGAGAAGGGCUGUCCUUCAAAACAGCAUGGCUUUAGAUAUUCUUACUGCAUCCCAAGGUGGUACAUAUACAAUCAUUCAGACUGAAUGCUGUGUUUUUAUAUGUGAUGAAUCUUCCAAUGUGUCAUCUCUGCUAAAGCACAUGAAGAAGCAAGUGGCUGCCUUAUGUGAAUCCUGCACCCCCUUUGAUUUGUUUGCUUGGCUCCCUUUUCAGUAUCAGUUCCCUUUUUCGAUCCGGAUUGCAAUUCCUAUUUCUAUUACUUAUUGGAAUCCUUGUACUGGUCAUAAUAUUCAAACUAAUUAUUGUUUUCUUUACUCGGUAUUGUAAGAGUAGCAUACAAACUAAAGUAAUGAUUGCUUGAUGGCUUAAAAUGGUCGAUCUAUCUUAUAAUCCUGGACAAAUUUCCUUUUCUGAUAAAGACUUUACCUAAGAACUCAUUUUAAACUAAUAUCUUCAAAAAUAUUGAAUUAUUAUUACUGUACUUGUUCUAUAAUCAUAUACAAUGUAAAUGCAAAAUGUCAUAGAGAAGCACAUAUACGUUUGUGAAACAAUCUAAAAUUAAUUAUAAAUUACAUGACAUAUGAAAUGCUUCCUCUGUUAAUACAUAUAUAUCCAUGCUUGUCCACUAUUUCCCACCAACGUGGAUGACUAAGCAAAUAAUGAGAUAAAAGCCUAGCACCGAGGGACAUGGUGGACCCAGGGCAGGCAGCAACCACCCUGGCACCGAGGGACAAUAUUUUGAUCAUCAAUGCUUUCUAUCGAAAGAUUAGAGAUCAAAAGGGGAAAAUGACAAAUAAAAAUGGCAAGCAAUAGUAUAUAUUGGAGAAUAUGAGGAAGCCAUUUGGUGUAAACCUAAUUCGGCCUGACCUUGUCUUUCCAAAAGUGGCUGACCGUGACUGUUGAGCAUGCAUUGUAUGUCUGCUUUAGAGAUUCCCUAUGGCAAGAACAAAGGCCCUUGAGAUAAAGGUGCAACUUCCCUCCCCCUCCCAACGUUGGCAUUCCCUUAAGGAUUAAGCAUCUUUCCUCAGGCUAGGAACUGAUUGCUGUGCUCACCUAUGACCACCCAGCUCGAGACAAUAGGCUUGCCUCCUGCUACGCCCUCUGAGAGAGCAGACCCACUGCCUGCUGUGUCCAUCAAGCGCUGUGCCAAUAGGGCAAUCUUGUGACUAUUGUAGGAGGGACAUUUCAAUCAUAUGUGAAACAUCCUGUAUGGGGGUGUAUGACCACUCUGUAUACCUCACUUCUUUGGUGACCUUUCUCCCUUUAGGAAGCAAGGCCCUUGGCCAUGGUCCUCAGAUUUCAG
ensembl:lncRNA